UGGGGAAUAUUGCACAAUGGGGGAAACCCUGAUGCAGCGACGCCGCGUGAACGAAGAAGGUAUUCGUAUCGUAAAGUUCUGUCCUAUGGGAAGAUAAUGACAGUACCAUAGAAGAAAGCUCCGGCUAAAUACGUGCCAGCAGCCGCGGUAAUACGUAUGGAGCGAGCGUUGUCCGGAAUUAUUGGGCGUAAAGGGUACGCAGGCGGUUUAAUAAGUCGAAUGUUAAAGAUCGGGGCUCAACCCCGCAAAGCAUUGGAAACUGAUAAACUUGAGGAGUGGAGAGGAAAGUGGAAUUCCUAGUGUAGUGGUGAAAUACGUAGAUAUUAGGAGGAAUACCAGUAGCGAAGGCGACUUUCUGGACACAAACUGACGCUGAGGUACGAAAGCGUGGGGAGCAAACAGG
rnacentral:rRNA from 1 species